GGUGCGGAUUCCUAUGGGGAAGGCCCAUAUUGUUGACAUCUUCCAGGCCUUGGUUCUGGACCUUGAGGAGGCUGAACUAGUGAUAGCGAUGCUUUUUAGGGUCACUGUAUGUAGGUAUUGGGGGAAGGGGAGGGAUCAACCGAGAAGGCAUGGAAGUGGUUUAAAGCUAAUAUUUCAGUUUUUGCUGCUCAUAUAGAGUCCAACCUAGGAGUUACUCAUUUACAGGCUGUAAAGCUUCUCCAGACUAAAAAUGUCUGAAAACCAAGCAUGGAUUAACUCUCCAUACGAACAGUAAAUUGAAAAUUCAGCUUGUGAGUAAAAUUUAAAAAUUUUACUCCCAAAGCAUUUUUUUAGGUACCCACAUUUUUUAAAAAUUGUGUUACUUUUACUUAGAGUUGAAAGGCCUCAACUAGUAUUUGCUGUUAAUGACCAGUAUGUGGAGUCUGAUUUAGCUUUCCAGAAUUGACAUUUUGGGUUGUAUUGCCAAAUCACAGUUCUAAACGAUGAAUGUUGAAUGAUGCACUAUGUUUUUGUUUAAAUGAAAUUUACUGAGAAUAAUUAACCUCAGAAUUAAGGGAAAUUGAUGUUGCUAUCAUGAGGCAGCAUAAAAAAUACAUAUUUUAAAAACUGAAGACAUUUCAAGCAGGUAUAGUUCUUGAAGCAGAAAGAACAUGAACCUGGGAUUUGGAAGACCAGGUUUCUAGCUGCUACUGAUCAACUCUAUUACUCCGGGAAAGUAGGCCUCAGUUCUUUUUUCUAUAACAUGAGUAAAUUGGACUGUUUGAAUUCAGAACUCAGAAAGUUGGAAGGGAUCUUAAAGCCCUCUGUGAAAGAGUUUGGGAAUGUUCUCCAUUGCUGUCAUUUUUCCUCCAAAAAUAACCUGGUUUGGAAGUCAUUGGUCCAACGGGAAUUUGACUCCCCAUAGAAAUUGGAGAAAAGGUAAUGCAAGUAGAGAGGAACAGCUGUAUAUCUGUUUGAGGAGUAAACCCACUAACAGAUUCUGGUACGAAUUUCAGAGACAUAAAAAUAAUGAGUGUAUGUACCUUAAGUGUACCAGUUUCCUCACUCUCUCCUGGCAGAAGAUGUAGCACUUUUAGUGGUGCUGGGAUUCUGGGAUGUGUUCCUAUUACGUCUAAUACAGAUGAAGAAGAUGUGGUAGAGGGAAAGAUGGUGGCAGAAGGACUGGAUAAAGAGGCAAAAUUGCCCGCGAAAAAGAAAAGAAAGAAGGGUUUGCGAAUUAAGGGGAAAAGGCGACGAAAGAAACUGAUCCUUGCGAAAAAGUUUAGUAAGGAUUUGGUAUCCGGGAGGCCAGUUGCAGAUGCCCCUGCUUUGUUAGCUUCCAAUGCCCCUGAGCAGGAUGAAGAAAGUCUUUUUGAGAGCAAUAUAGAAAAACAGAUCUAUUUACCUAGUACUAGAGCCAAGACCUCCAUUGUGUGGCACUUCUUUCAUGUUGACCCCCAGUACACCUGGCGGGCUAUUUGUAACCUCUGUGAAAAAAGUGUUAGCAGGGGUAAACCAGGUAGCCAUCUCGGGACAUCUACUCUUCAGCGACAUCUGCAGGCAAGGCAUUCACCUCACUGGACCAGGGCCAACAAAUUUGGAGUUACUAGUGGGGAGGAGGAUUUUACUUUGGAUGUACCUUUAUCUCCCUCUUCCGCUGGAAGCAGUGGAAGCUUUGAAUAUAUCCCUACUGAUCCAUUGGAUAAUAAUGGAAUGGGAAAGAAACGUGAUAAAUCAGUAUCUGAUGCCCUAAGGGCAGAAAGAGGGAGAUUUCUCAUCAAAAGUAACAUUGUCAAGCAUGCCUUAAUUCCUGGAACAAGAGCCAAGACAUCUGCAGUUUGGAAUUUUUUCUAUACCGAUCCUCAGCACAUCUCAAGAGCUGUCUGUAAUAUAUGUAAAAGAAGUGUGAGCCGAGGUAGGCCGGGUUCUCACUUAGGAACUUCGACACUUCAACGACACCUGCAGGCCACACAUCCCAUCCAUUGGGCAGUUGCCAACAAAGACAGUGGUGCAGUUGGAAAUGGAUUAGAUGAAGCUGAGACUGAGAGAAAUGAUCUCUUGAGUGAUACUUUGCCUGGAGAGAAGUCUACAGGCAGCCAGGAUGUAACAGCUGAGGACCUUAGUGACUCUGAUUCAGAUGAACCUCCUGUAUUAGAGGUUGAAAAUAGAAGAUCUGAGAGUCCUAUUCCUGUUGCAGAGCAAGACACUCUAAUGCAUGCACAGGAACAAGAAACAACAUAUUGUGAAAAUUCAACCUCAAGUCAAAUAAGUCAGGCAAUUAUUCAAAUGAUUGUGGAAGAUAUGCAUCCUUACAACUAUUUCUCAACUCCAGCCUUUCAGAGGUUCAUGCAGAUUGUGGCCCCUGACUAUAGGUUACCAUCUGAAACUUACUUUUUCACUAAGGCUGUGCCUCAAUUAUAUGAUUGGGUCAGAGAAAAAAUUUUCUUAACUUUGGAGAAUGUUCAAAGCCAAAAGAUCCACCUGACUGUGGACAUAUGGAGCCAUGACCCAUCCACUGACUAUUUCAUUGUGACUGUACACUGGGUCUCUUUGCAGACUACAACUUCUUCCAGUAAUGGCAGGAUCCCCAAUUUUAGAAAGUGGGCAGUUCUCUGUGUAACAGGUUUGGCCAAAGACUGUUUGAUAACCAACAUUUUACAAGAAUUAAAUGACCAGAUUGGUCUGUGGCUUUCUCCUAAUUUCCUCAUCCCUAGCUUCAUCGUUUCUGACAAUUCUUCUAAUGUAGUACAUGCAAUCAAAGAUGGUGGUUUUACCCAAGUGCCAUGCUUCCUGCAUUGUUUAAAUACAGUCAUUCAAGACUUUUUCUGUGAGCACAAAAGCAUUGAGAACAUGUUAGUGGCUGCUAGGAAAACUUGUCAUCAUUUUAGUCAUUCAGUCAAGGCCCGUCAGAUACUACAAGAGUUCCAAAAUGAUCACCAACUUCCAUGGAAAAAUUUGAAGCAGGAUGAAGCUGGCCAUUGGAUUUCUACCUUUUAUAUGUUAAAAUGGCUCUUGGAGCAUUGUUACUCAGUUCACCAUAGUCUUGGUAGAGCCAGUGGAGUUGUGCUCACCUCCCUUCAGUGGACUCUAAUGACGUAUGUUUGUGAUAUUCUUAAACCAUUUGAGGAGGCCACCCAGAAAGUGAGUGUGAAGACUACAGGAUUGAAUGAGGUGCUACCCCUAAUCCAUCAUCUACUCCUUUCCCUGCAGAAGCUCAGAGAAGAUUUUCAAGUUAGAGGUAUUACUCAGGCCCUCAAUCUGGUAGACAGUUUAUCUCUGAAACUUGAAACUGAUACCCUAUUAAGUGCCAUGCUCAAAUCCAAGCCCUGUAUCUUGGCUGCUUUGUUAGACCCUUGCUUUAAAAAGAGUUUGGAAGACUUUUUCCCUCAAGGUGCUGAUUUGGAAACUUACAAGCAGAUCCUUGCAGAAGAAGUUUGUAACUAUAUGGAAUCUUCAUCAGAGGUCUGCCGUAUUGCAACUUCAGAAGCUUCUGGUUCCUCAGCCAUAGUAGGAGCUGAUUCAUUUACCUCAUCUAUAAGAGAAGGCACCUCCAGUUCAGGGUCUGUUGAUAGUUCAGUUGCAGAUAAUGUUGCCAUUGGAGGCAAAAGCUUCAUGUUUCCUUCUGCUAUGGCAGUAGUGGAUGAAUACUUCAAUGAGAAGUAUUCAGAGACCUCAGGAGGUGAUGACCCUUUGAUUUACUGGCAGAAGAAGGUGAGCGUAUGGCCAGCUUUGACCCAAGUUGCCAUUCAGUAUCUGAGCUGCCCCAUGUGUAGUUGGCAAUCUGAAUGUAUCUUUACUGCAAAUAGCCACUUUCAUCCAAAGCAGAUCAUGAGCCUGGACUUUGACAAUAUAGAACAGCUGAUGUUUCUGAAAAUGAACUUGAAAAAUGUUAACUAUGAUUAUUCUUCAUUGGUUCUGAGCUGGGGUCCUGAGAAUGAAGUUAUUCAAAGCAGUGAAAAAGAAAUAUUAUCUUAAUUUCUUUUUCUUUUCUCCAUUUAAAAUGGGCAACUUAUUGCUAUGUUACUGUGUCCUAAUUGCUAUAAUUGUUACAUACAGUUAUACUGAUUAUUCUUUAUGCACAAUCUGGGGAAACCUGAAAACACAGAAAGGGCUGAAAAUUCCUCAGAGGUAAUAUAAUGUUGACAAAAUGAAGAUUAGCUUUAAAGAUUUCAUAGUAGUAACUCAGUGUAGCUGUCACUUGAAAUUUUGUUUAUACCAAUUGAGAGAAAAAUGACUUUUUUAGUUAAAAAAAUAUAGUGCAGCAUUGAAAGGCCUUAGGCUAUUUCUGGCUGGCAGAUUGAGCUAGUAAUUGGUUUUAAGUAAAAAUUUCUCUCAACCUGGGAAGUUUGAUUGCUCUGAAACCAAUGAAAUAGAGAAAAAGCAUACUAAACUGGCAUCUCUCCCCAUCACCACCAUUUUUCUAUUUCUUUAAAAACCGUGAUUCAUACUUACAGCUUGGCAAAAACAAAGUUCACAAAAUUGUUUUAUAUUUGGGAAUUUCUAAUUGCCUCCUCAUACUGGUCAGCAUUAUAAUUUCAACUUACUAAGUGUGAUAGAGUUGCCCUUUAUAGUUAAGAUUGGGUCUUCAUAGAAAGGAAACAUUAGAAAACAAUUAGGAAGAAAUUACUUUUAGUCUUUGAAUUGCCCUUUUUAACUUUUAUUGUAAAAACAAAGAUUAGCUACUUUUAUAUAAUUUAUGGGUAAAUGACAAUAAAAAGUUUACAGAAUUGAAAAAGAUUGAAUGGAAAUUGGAAUGAAAGCCCCAUGAGUAUACUGUGACAAACCAGUAUCCCUUUCCCACAGAAUGUUUCUCUGAAUUUAAGUGAUCUUAAAUGUCUUUUAAAAAUUAUACUGAAUGAUCCAUAAUAGUGUAUUCUUAACUUUGAGAUUAUUUUGGCCUUAAUUCUUAUUUAAAAAUAAGCAGUCAAUAUUUUCAUGUGUUAGGAAUCAUUGCCUCACUGGUAAAAUGAGAGAAUUGAUCUCAAUUGAUCUUGUCCCUUUCCACUCUGGAAGUAUGUUUUUGUGAUUGAGUGGGAGGCCAUAAGUGAUGACUUUUAGUAAAAGUCUAUUAAAAGUUUCAGACUGAAUAACUAAUGUAAGAUCCCAAUUUUUCCUUUUUUUCAUUUUAGAUUUGGGGAUAUUCCCUGCCCAAAAAUUUCCUGGAAAAUUGACUAGUAUUAAGUGUGAAGAAAUCUUGAAGACCAGAAAUUGGAUCUUAUUGAAUUUUGGUGUUCUUUUUCUUUUUUCUUUUUCUUUUUUCUUUUUAAAUUAAUUGUUCGGCUAUGGAAGAUGGAUUUUUUUUUUUUUUUAAUCUUUGAAUCUCAAGUUCAUCUUUAUAUGAACUCUUUUUUGUUGUUUUUUUGUUGAGGAGAUAACUAACCCUAGCUGUCUCCAGUUUGACAAAGGUUAUUUGAAUGGACUUAAAUCUCUCAGUAGUUGGGAGAUGUUUUAAAAACACACCCUGUGUUUGAAUUGUGGCUGAGAGGUUUCCUUGGCAAUGUGAGGAGGAAAAUUCUUUCUGCCUCAUUAUUAUUAAUUCAUGGAUUGAGUGUUGGUUCGACCUACAGGCGUAAUAGAUUGGAACUCAGUGAAGACACAGACAUUGCUGCUGAGAGCAACCAGCUAAUGAUUACAUUUAAAAGACAAUUUCUAUGAUUGAGUUGUCUUUUGGAAGAUUAAGCCCAUUUCAAGAGGACGUGGAGCUGGUCCUCGCCUUGAGGAAGCAGUGGCUUGUUUUCAAGAAGCCACUUCUCAUCUGAGGAUCUACUCAGCAUGCC